AUUGAACGCUGGCGGCAUGCCUUACACAUGCAAGUCGAACGGUAACAGGUCUUCGGAUGCUGACGAGUGGCGAACGGGUGGGUAAUACAUCGGAACGUGCCCGAUCGUGGGGGAUAACGAGGCGAAAGCUUUGCUAAUACCGCAUACGAUCUACGGAUGAAAGCGGGGGUUCUUCGGACCUCGCGCGGACGGAGCGGCCGAGGGCAGCUUAGGUGGUUGUUGGGAGAAAGGUUUACCAAGCCCACGAUCUGUAGCUGUUCUGAGAGGAUGAUCAGCCACACUGGGAGUGGGACACGGCCCAGACUCCUACGGGAGGCAGCAGUGGGGAAUUUUGGACAAUGGGCGAAAGCCUGAUCCAGCGAUGCCGCGUGCAGGAUGAAGGCCUUGGGGUUGUAAACUGCUUUUGUACGGAACGAAAAGCCUCUUUCUAAUAAAGAGGGGUCAUGACGGUACCGGAAGAAUAAGCACCGGCUAACUACGUG
rnacentral:rRNA from 1 species